rnacentral:rRNA from 1 species
UGGGGAAUAUUGGACAAUGGGCGCAAGCCUGAUCCAGCAACGCCGCGUGAAUGAUGAAGGCCUUCGGGUCGUAAAGUUCUUUUAGCAGGGAAGAAAAUGACGGUACCUGCAGAAUAAGCACCGGCUAACUUCGUGCCAGCAGCCGCGGUAAUACGAAGGGUGCUAGCGUUGUUCGGAAUUACUGGGCGUAAAGGGUGCGUAGGUUGUUUAUCAAGCUAGUGGUGAGAGCCCGGGGCUUAACCCCGGAAUUGCCAUUAGAACUGAUAGGCUAGAGAGUGUUAGAGGUGAGUGGAAUUUCUAGUGUAGGAGUGAAAUCCGUAGAUAUUAGAAGGAACAUCAAUGGCGAAGGCAGCUCACUGGGUCACAUCUGACACUGAGGCACGAAAGCGUGGGUAGCAAACAGG